GCGAGUUUAAAUUCACUGAAAGAGGCCCAGAUAUCAAGUCGAGUGAAUUUCACAGACAUCAUCUUCUGUUUUAAUGAUCGCGGCAGUGAUCGUUUCUGAAGUCAUACCCUUUAAGGUGAACUCAACAACAAUGCAUGUCAGAGAGGCUGCGAGCCCUAAAGCAAAACAGUUAAAACAUGAGGCCACGCUCCUCAAACUGCAGGAUUGCAAGCAGCUCACAAACUUCCAGUCCCCACCCCGAGGACUCCAAGCUGUUGUCCCCUCUCUGCCGCAUCCGAGGCUGGAAAAACUUACUAGGAGAAGGCAAGACACCAGACCAGAACCGAGGACUAAACUUUAAGGUCGAAGACGGCAGAGGGGCAGGUUCUCCCCUGCAGACCCCAAGGCCUCUCGUGCACCCGCGAGGCCUUCCUUGAGCGCCCAGGCCCCCGAAGUGCCUGCCCUCCUUCUGACAAAAGGAGGCGGUAGGAUGUGGAGGGGUAGUGCAACCAAUAAUAUUUUUGUGAACACAACAACAGGGAAAUACAUGGAGGAAAUCUA
rnacentral:lncRNA from 1 species